AUUCCAAUCGAACCCGGAGAUAGCUGGUUCUCCCCGAAAUAGCUUUAGGGCUAGCCUCAAGUAGUAAGUAUAGGCGGUAGAGCACUGAUCGGGCUAGGGGCCAUAAAGGUUACCGAACCCUGUCAAACUCCGAAUGGUUAUACUGUAGAGCUUGGGAGUCAGACUACGAGUGAUAAGAUCCGUGGUCAAAAGGGAAACAGCCCAGACCACCAGCUAAGGUCCCCAAUGUCGUACUAAGUGGAAAAGGAUGUGGGGUCUCUAAAACAACCAGGAUGUUGGCUUAGAAGCAGCCACCAUUUAAAGAGUGCGUAAUAGCUCACUGGUCGAGAGACCCUGCGCCGAAGAUUACCGGGGCUAAAGUACGAAACCGAAGCUGUGGCUACGACAUAUGUCGUGGGGUAGGGGAGCGUUCUGUGAGGGCUGAAGUCGUUCUGUAAGGAACGGUGGACUUCACAGAAGUGAGAAUGUUGGUAUGAGUAGCGAAAAGAAUGGUGAGAAUCCAUUCCACCGAAAGCAUAAGGAUUCCUGGGCAACGAUCGUCGUCCCAGGGUAAGUCGGGACCUAAUCCGAGGCAUGGAGCGUAGGAGAUGGACAACUGGCAGAUAUUCCAGUACCGGUAAUGAUUGUUUGAGCGAUGGAGUGACACAGGAGGGCAGGCAGGCAGGAGAUUGGUUGUUCCUGUACAAGCGUGUAGGAUGGGACGCAGGCAAAUCCGCGUCCUGUGAGUCUGAGGCGUGAUGUGGAGGUUCCGGAAACGGAACUGAAGCUGCUGACCCCACACUGUCGAGAAAAGCUUCUAGUUAGAGAAUUACCGCCCGUACCGUAAACCGACACAGGUAUGCGGGGAGAGAAUCCUAAGGUGCGCGGGAGAACCCUCGUUAAGGAACUCGGCAAAAUGUACCCGUAACUUCGGGAUAAGGGUAGCCGCUGUUGUGAAGUCUGAACAGACGGAGCAUGAGGCGGUCGCAGAGAAGAGGCCCAAGCGACUGUUUACCACAAACACAGGUGCCUGCUAAAGAGAAAUCUGACGUAUAGGUGCUGACACCUGCCCAGUGCCGGAAGGUUAAGGAAGGAUGUCCGGAGCAAUCCAAAGCAUUCGACCGAAGCCCCGGUGAACGGCGGCCGUAACUAUAACGGUCCUAAGGUAGCGAAAUUCCUUGUCGGGUAAGUUCCGACCCGCACGAAAGGUGUAACGAUUUGGGCACUGUCUCAACGAGGGACCCGGUGAAAUUGAAGUACCUGUGAAGAUGCAGGUUACCCGCGACUGGACAGAAAGACCCCAUGGAGCUUUACUGUAACCUGACAUUGGGUUCUGAUACAUCACGUACAGGAUAGGUGGGAGGCAUGGAAGCGAGGACGCUAGUCUUCGUGGAGCCGCCGUUGGGAUACCACCCUUGAUGUAUCGGAAUUCUAACCGUAGGAGUAACGAAACUCGGGACAGUGUCAGGCGGGCAGUUUGACUGGGGCGGUCGCCUCCCAAAGAGUAACGGAGGCGCCCAAAGGUUCCCUCAGCGCGGCCGGAAAUCGCGCGAAGAGUGUAAAGGCAGAAGGGAGCUUGACUGAGAGCCAAACACGGCAAUCAGGUACGAAAGUAGGGCUUAGUGAUCCGGUGGCAUCCAAGUGGAAGGGCCAUCGCUCAACGGAUAAAAGCUACCCUGGGGAUAACAGGCUAAUCUCUCCCAAGAGUCCAUAUCGACGGGGAGGUUUGGCACCUCGAUGUCGGCUCAUCACAUCCUGGGGCUGAAGUCGGUCCCAAGGGUUGGGCUGUUCGCCCAUUAAAGUGGUACGUGAGCUGGGUUCAGAACGUCGUGAGACAGUUCGGUCCCUAUCCAUCGCGGGCGCAAGAGAUUUGAAGGGGGCUGCUCCUAGUACGAGAGGACCGGAGUGGACGAACCAAUGGUGUACCAAUUAUCUCGCCAGAGGUAUAGUUGGGUAGCUACGUUCGGAAAGGAUAAACGCUGAAAGCAUCUAAGCGUGAAACCAGCCUUAAGAUGAGAUCUCUCAUAGAGCAAUCUAGUAAGACACCUUGGAGAAGACGAGGUUGAUAGGUCGGGAGUGUAAGUACAGUAAUGUAUUCAGCGGACCGAUACUAAUAUGUCGAGGGCUUGACUUG
rnacentral:rRNA from 1 species